rnacentral:rRNA from 1 species
GCGAAAACUUUACACUGCGCGAAAGCGCGAUAAGGGGACCUCGAGUGCGUGCGCAAUGCGUACGCUUUUCAGAUGCCUAAAAAGCAUGUGGAAUAAGGGCCGGGCAAGACCGGUGCCAGCCGCCGCGGUAACACCGGCGGCCCGAGUGGUAGCCGUUAUUAUUGGGUUUAAAGGGUCCGUAGCCGGCCUAUUAAGUCUCUUGGGAAAUAUGGCGACUCAAUCGUCAUGCGUUCAAGAGAUACUGGUAGGCUUGGGACCGGGAGAGGUGGGAGGUACUCCAGGGGUAGGGGUGAGAUCUCGUAAUCCUUGGGGGACCACCGAUGGCGAAGGCAUCCCACCAGAACGGGUCCGACGGUGAGGGACGAAAGCUGGGGGCACGAACCGGAUUAGAUACCCGGGUAGUCCCAGCCGUAAACGAUGCUCGCUAGGUGUCAGGUGCGGUGCGACCGCAUCUGGUGCCGCAGUGAAAACUUGAAGCGAGUCACCUGGGAAGUACGGUCGCAAGGCUGAAACU